AUAUUGUAAUUAAAGAUUAUACAAGUAAUUCAACAUAUCUUCCAAUAAUUUUGCUCAAUAAGAUGUAUUAUUUUAUUGCAAUGAAAAUUUUCUCCAUUUCGUGGAAAGGGGUUUCUAAAUAUAUGCAAACAAUAUCAGAUGUGUUUUUUUCAGGUAUAUACCCUUUACACAAUAGAAGAACCUAUUAUAUUUUUGGUUUAUAAUUUUUUUAAAGGUUUAAUGAGUGUGUUGGUCUUGUCUCUAGUGCUAUAGGCAUUAAAAAUAAUACUUUUGAAUUUAUUAUAUUUAAAAGCUGUGUUAGAAAACAUAUUUAAACAAUAUUCCUAAGACAAGAAUUAAUAUAUGUAUUUCAUAAUUUGCUUUAUAGUAUUCAAGCUGAGCUGAAUAAUGUGACCGGAAGACCUUCAGAAAGCAUAUCUUUUAAAACUUUAUGUUGCAAGCCAGAUGUUCCUCAACCUCCAAAAUUAUUAUCUCGAGCUAAAACUUCUAUAUCACUGAAAUGGAAUGCAGCUGUUGAUAAUGGUGCCAAGAUUUUAUCUUAUAUUUUGGAAUAUGAUGAGGGUAAUGGAUCAGAAAACUUUGUGGAACUGUUUAAUGGCCUUCAAAAACAGUUCAAGACUGUAAAAUUAAAAGCUUCUACAUGUUACAGAUUUCGACUGGCUGCAGUUAAUGAAUAUGGUAAAAGUGGUUACAGUGAAGUGAGCUGCUUUUCUACAAGUGGCAGUACGCCUAGUCAGCCUUCACCACCAGUUUUAAAAGAGGCAUUUAUUGAUAAGUUAACUCUCGAGUGGCAGUCAAGGCCCAAUGAUGAUAAUUAUACUUUGCAAAUGGAAGAUGAUGGAACUGUCAUUGAAAGAAGCAAUCAAAUCUUUUAGAGGGAAGACGAUGAUUUCAUGAGCAACACACAUGCAUACACACAGCUGAACAACACAUGUUUUUGCUUCUCUCUCGCGUGACACAGAGUCGAGAUGACCGAAGAAAAUGUUAUGAUAAUGGAUGUUACAUGCUGUAUUCCAGCAGAAUGUUAUGCUACUAACUUUAUGUAAAAUGUUUAUUUUUUAUGUUAUAAUAAAGUGUUCAUCCUAUUGA